rnacentral:misc_RNA from 1 species
AUCAGUUUGAAACAGCUGAUAUUAGAUCUCAUGGUUUUUUAUGUUCAUUAUUUUUCAUGUGGAACAAGCUGGUAAGUUCUAUUAACCCACAUAGCUAGAGGAGUGCAAUAAGUGAGCUCAGUUCCAAACCAAACUCACUGAAAAAACAAAAUCUAAAACUACAGAAAUUGAACCCGAAAAUCACAUCAAACUGAAAAAAAAAAAAUCAAUUUGAUUCAAUUCAUUAGUUUUGCUACUCCCUUUCCCUCAAAAAGGUUCCAAUAAAUCACAAAUCAACAAUUGAAAUUUGUCAAAAAAAUACAACCUAGUAAUUUCCCAACAAAAUCAACUACCAAAAUUUGCCUAAAAAUGACACAACAAAGUAGCCAUCAAUAG